UUUAUAAAUGCCCUGGCAAUGUCAGGAAGUUAGCCUAUGUGGUGGUCUAAAAACAGAAGGCAUGAAUAAUCCACCCCUUGUUUAGCACAUAAUCAAGAAAUAACCGUAAGAAUGUGCAACCAGCAGCCCUUGGGGCUGCUCUGUCUAUGGAGUGGCCAUUCUUUUAUUCCUUUGCUUUCCUAAUAAACUUGCUUUCACUUUACAGACUUGCCCUGAAUUCUUUCUUGCGCGAGAUCUAAGAACCCUCUCUUGGGGUCUGGAUGAGGACCACCUUCCUGUAACAUCUUUCUGGCAACCACAGAAGGGACACAAAGGCUACCUUUGGCUUGGCCCCCAGGGCUAGGGUCCAGCCGCCGGGUCACUAGGACCACUCAAAGAAAGGGAACACAAAAGCCUCACGUGCCAGCAAAAGGACUGGAUAAUUUCAACGGACCAGCCUUCAAGUUCAAUGAUUCUUUUUUUUAAGAAAAAAAUAAGUUCAAGUCUGCUGUUUAUCCUCUCUAG
rnacentral:lncRNA from 10 species